GAUGAACGCUGGCGGCGUGCCUAAUACAUGCAAGUCGAGCGAACAGAUAAGGAGCUUGCUCCUUUGACGUUAGCGGCGGACGGGUGAGUAACACGUGGGUAACCUACCUAUAAGACUGGAAUAACUCCGGGAAACCGGGGCUAAUGCCGGAUAACAUUUAGAACCGCAUGGUUCUAAAGUGAAAGAUGGUUUUCCUAUAACUUAUGAUGGAACCCGCGCCGUAUUAGCUAGUUGGUAAGGUAACGGCUUACCAAGGCAACGAUACGUAGCCGACCUGAGAGGGUGAUCGGCCACACUGGAACUGAGACACGGUCCAGACUCCUACGGGAGGCAGCAGUAGGGAAUCUUCCGCAAUGGGCGAAAGCCUGACGGAGCAACGCCGCGUGAGUGAUGAAGGUCUUCGGAUCGUAAAACUCUGUUAUUAGGGAAGAACAAAUGUGUAAGUAACUGUGCACGUCUUGACGGUACCUAAUCAGAAAGCCACGGCUAACUACGUG
rnacentral:rRNA from 1 species